rnacentral:misc_RNA from 1 species
UACGAUUGACUCGGUCAGGUGGCAAACAAGUGGUUGAAUGCAAGUUGAUCGAUCCAGAGGACAUCAUUAUGAAAAACAGUAUGAGGAUCCAAUAAGGAUUCGAUUCCUCCUCUCUCGAGUGUGCCUGGACGUGCUGUUUAACUUGACACAAGAUAUCUGAACAGAAGACUUUCCGAUUAUACAAUGUGUAAAUCUUCCAAGCACAAACCUCUGAACCAUUCAAGAUAGUGAGAAUAAAUUGAGAUGAAACUCGAUUCAUCAUUAUCGUUACGUUGAGGAUUAGCCAGCAGUAUUUCACCUGUUGGAAGUUGGUGGGCGGUGCCGAUGAAUAUGCAGA